rnacentral:rRNA from 1 species
UACGAAGGGUGCAAGCGUUACUCGGAAUUACUGGGCGUAAAGCGUGCGUAGGUGGUCUGUUAAGUCUGAUGUGAAAGCCCUGGGCUCAACCUGGGAAUGGCAUUGGAUACUGGCAGGCUAGAGUGCGGUAGAGGAUGGCGGAAUUCCCGGUGUAGCAGUGAAAUGCGUAGAGAUCGGGAGGAACAUCUGUGGCGAAGGCGGCCAUCUGGACCAGCACUGACACUGAGGCACGAAAGCGUGGGGGAGCAAACAGG